rnacentral:rRNA from 1 species
UACGUAGGUCUCAAGCGUUGUUCGGAUUCAUUGGGCGUAAAGGGUGCGUAGGUGGCGAGGUAAGUCUGGUGUGAAAUCCCGGGGCUCAACCCUGGAACUGCACUGGAUACUGCCCUGCUAGAGUACUGGAGAGGAGAUUGGAAUUUACGGUGUAGCAGUGAAAUGCGUAGAUAUCGUAAGGAAGACCAGUGGCGAAGGCGAAUCUCUGGACAGUUACUGACACUGAGGCACGAAGGCCAGGGGAGCAAACGGG